AGAGUUUGAUCCUGGCUCAGAUUGAACGCUGGCGGCAUGCCUUACACAUGCAAGUCGAACGGUAACGCGGGGGCAACCCUGGCGACGAGUGGCGAACGGGUGAGUAAUACAUCGGAACAUACCCAGUAGCGGGGGAUAACCUAUCGAAAGAUGGACUAAUACCGCAUACGAUCUACGGAUGAAAGCAGGGGACCGCAAGGCCUUGCACUAUUGGAGUGGCCGAUGUCGGAUUAGCUAGUUGGUGAGGUAAAGGCUUACCAAGGCGACGAUCCGUAGCCGGUCUGAGAGGACGAUCAGCCACACUGGAACUGAGACACGGUCCAGACUCCUACGGGAGGCAGCAGUGGGAAUUUUGGACAAUGGGCGCAAGCCUGGUCCAGCCAUGCCGCGUGAGUGAAGAAGGCCUUCGGGUUGUAAAGCUCUUUCGGUGAAGACGAAACGGUUAGCGCUAAUAACGCUGACUAAUGACGGUACUCACAGAAGAAGCACCGGCUAACUACGUGCCAGCAGCCGCGGUAAUACGUAGGGUGCAGGCGUUAAUCGGAAUUACUGGGCGUAAAGCGUGCGCAGGCGGUUUGCUAAGACAGGUGUGAAAUCCCCGAGCUUAACUUGGGAAUUGCGCUUGUAACUGGCAAGCUAGAGUGUGGCAGAGGGGGGUGGAAUUCCACGUGUAGCAGUGAAAUGCGUAGAUAUGUGGAGGAACACCGAUGGCGAAGGCAGCCCCCUGGGUUAACACUGACGCUCAUGCACGAAAGCGUGGGGAGCAAACAGGAUUAGAUACCCUGGUAGUCCACGCCCUAAACUAUGUCAACUAGUUGUCGGGGAAGAAAUUCCUUGGUAACGAAGCUAACGCGUGAAGUUGACCGCCUGGGGAGUACGGCCGCAAGGUUAAAACUCAAAGGAAUUGACGGGGACCCGCACAAGCGGUGGAUUAUGUGGAUUAAUUCGAUGCAACGCGAAAAACCUUACCUACCCUUGACAUGCUAGGAAGCCCGCAGAGAUGUGGGUGUGCCCGAAAGGGAACCUAGACACAGGUGCUGCAUGGCUGUCGUCAGCUCGUGUCGUGAGAUGUUGGGUUAAGUCCCGCAACGAGCGCAACCCUUGCCAUUAGUUGCUACAUUCAGUUGGGCACUCUAAUGGGACCGCCGGUGACAAACCGGAGGAAGGUGAGGAUGACGUCAAGUCCUCAUGGCCCUUAUGGGUAGGGCUUCACACGUAAUACAAUGGUCGGUACAGAGGGCUGCCAACCCGCAAGGGGGAGCUAAUCCCAGAAAGCCGAUCGUAGUCCGGAUUGUAGUCUGCAACUCGACUGCAUGAAGCCGGAAUCGCUAGUAAUCGCGGAUCAGCAUGUCGCGGUGAAUACGUUCCCGGGUCUUGUACACACCGCCCGUCACACCAUGGGAGUGGGUUCCACCAGAAGUAGUUAGCCUAACCGCAAGGAGGGCGAUUACCACGGUGAGAUUCAUGACUGGGGUGAAGUCGUAACAAGGUA
rnacentral:rRNA from 1 species